AUUGACUGCCAUUUGUAUAACGACAGUUUUACUACAAAUAGGCUACCACAUUAAACUAUGGAGUGUACCAUGGUUAAUUUAUGAUUACCAUGUGAGUACAAUAAUCAUGUUUUUUUGGUUUUAUUUGUAGCCUACCAUGGUUAAUGUCGUAAUUAAGGGAGCAAGUACUGUCAUGUUUUUUCGGGGUGUUUUAGUUAAAAAUUAAUCCUCCAGUCAUUUUAAAUCUGUAGGCUAGUUUAAAUUGAUCCGAACUGAAUGAAUCUAAACGAGUCUUUUGAACAGAAUCGCAAAAUUUGAGUGAGUUAAUGAAAUAAAAUCCACACUAUUCGCGGUAAUGCUGUAUCUCGGGGUUUGGUAAUAGAGGUAAUGAACAGUAAUAUAUCAAGCACUGACAUUCCAGGCCUCGCAUUUAGAGCUGAUUCACACGAGACUCGCAAUUCUUGAUGCCCGUGAAUCGAAUCUUUUUGGAAUCGACUCACUGUCCUUAUCCCUCCCGCCGUAGCUGUUGUUUGAAUUUGCGCUGGCGUGCUGACAGGAGAGCUUGUGUUCUGAGGGGCUACUGGCUGACAGCGUCCGGUAAUUUCUGAGAGAUUAAACUCAGAUGAAGGUAAGUGUGAAUAUAUAAAACCAUUUUGAAAAAAAAACAUGUUUACAAGAACAUAACAUUAAAAGUUGUUUGAAUUUGUAAUAUUUUUAAUCUGUAUUUUUAGCAUAACUUUGUUUGAGCUGUUUAUUCCCGCUUCAAGUGCUUUGCUGUUGCGCGCGCUGAUUUUCUGAGAGAUUUACAUCUGACGAAGGUUAGUAUAAAUACAUAAAACCUUUUAAAUAACAUGUUUAUCCGAACAUAACAUUACAAAUUCUACAAUGUUGUAUAAUUUCUUUCAAACUUUAACCCAGUGUUGUUUUGAGCCAUUUGUUCCCACUUCAGCGGCCUUCAUCAGAAAGUCUCCAAACACUGCAGCUGACUUCUGAUUCACUAUAUAUCACCGCAUUUCUCACCUCCAUUCCCAGACGACAGCAGGCCAAAUAUGCUUAUUCUCUCUAUUAUAUAUACACGUGACCUUGUGAAUUGCUGUAUAGUUCAGCUAACAAAAUAGCUGCCUGUUUUCAUUACAUUUGUGUUAUAAUGUUACGUUUCAUCAUACUAACUUGUGUUUAAACAAUGAAAACUGUAAAAUGUAUUUAGAGAUGUGUAUUAAUGUAAUGUAUUAAGUGUUUUAUUAUAUUUUUACAGGAUCCUCUGUUCCCAAACCCAACAAUUCAUCUGAAGGAUGAAGGAAAAUAUGAACCCUUUGAACCACUGGUGACAGUUUCCACAUGAUAAAUAGAAAGGACAUGGCAGAGGAUGAUGGGGUAUUGAUAUUUCACUGAAAUUAAAUAUAAUUUAAUUACAUUUAGUCUGCUAGUCAGAAUUAUAGCUGAUUAAAUAAAAAGAAAUAGUGGUUCAUGUUUGUUUUGGGAUAGUGUUUCAUGAGUCCUUUUGUCCUGAACAGUUUGAAUGGCCGCUUUUCUUCAGAAAAAUCUUCCAGAUCCUUCACUUUCUCAGGUUUUCCAGCAUCUUUUGCAUAUUUGAACCCUUUCUAGCAAUGAAUGUAUGAUUUCAGAUCCAUUUUUUUUUACACUGAGGACAGUUGAGGGACUCAUACACAACUAUUUCAAAAGGUAAACGUAUUUAUUGAUUUUCAAGAAAGUAACAAUUUAUUAAGAGAGACAGGGUGUGAACUACUUGAAUUGGAUGAUCAGGGAAAAGUUUUUUUUUUUUUGAAAAUAAGCAUAAAAAAGGUAUUUUAUAUAGCUUCUGAAGGACAG
ensembl:lncRNA